rnacentral:misc_RNA from 1 species
UCAUCCAAGAUGGCGGCGCCCAUGAAAGGAAGUAGGCGAAUCCCAUCCUCACUAUGACCCCAAAACGAAUGCUUCGAUUGUGAGGAAAAGACCUUUUAGAGGUUGACCUGCAACCUCAGGUUUUCCCAGGUUGGUUCAGCCAAUGACAUAGAUUGACUGUGAUAACCAUGUCCGGGGAAAUUUUUCAACCAAUGGAAAGCCUUGAAGAUACCGACGUGGCCAAAAGGAACCCCCUGCUGUGCUACCUGUGCAAUGAACAAUAUGAUGACCCCUGUAUACUCUCGUGCUUCCACAGCUUCUGUAUGCGCUGUUUGCGGGGCCGAGCAGCGGACUCACAGAUGCUGUGUCCUCUUUGUGGGGCAACCACACCUUUAAAAGAAGGAAACUCAUUACCUCCUCCUGAUCCCCUGCUGAAGUUCAUGGUCGAAUCAUCCCUGGACGAGAAAGCAUCAUGUGCCAACUGUGAUAAAGACUGUAACCCCAUGUAUUUCUGCAACACCUGCUGCCAGCCCCUGUGUACUGGCUGUAGAGAUGAAACCCACCGCGCCAAGAUGUUCGCUGCUCACGACAUUGUUGUCUUAUCCAAGAGAACAAAAGAAAUACACAAGCGCUGCUCGCUGCACAAGGAGCCGUACAUCAUGUUCUCCAUAGAGAAGAAAAUCAUGCUGUGCAUCAACUGCUUCAGGGACAUGCGGAUUGAGAGUCGGACGCACUGCGUGGACCUAGAGACCGCUUACAACCAAAGUUGUCGCAAGCUUGAGCAGAGUGUUCAAGCUGUACGGGAUCUACAGAACUCUGUGAGAGAUGGAAUCUUGCUGCUACGAGCACUGCUUGAGGAGAUCAAACAGAAUGCAAGGAAGGAAAGUGAAGCAGUUUCUUCCCUCUAUGACUCCAUGCAGGAGAAGAUCAAACUGACCAUGGAGACGCUCCUUGAGGAGUCCAACAGCCAGUACAAGGCGAAAGAGUCCUCGUUCAAGGCACAGCUGACUGGCCUGACCACCCUCCUACCCACCAUCCAUGUCCAUCUUGUGACAUCAGCAGCAUUCGCCAGCUCUGCCAAUAAGUUUGAGUUUCUAGAUAUGUCCUAUGCCAUGAUGGAGAGACUCAAGGCCAUCGUCCACUGUCAGCAUCCCCUCCACCCAACACAAGGCAGCCAGAUAGACACAGACUUCAAGAACAAAUUUGCCAAGAGCUUGGAGCCCCUGUUGUAUGAUGGCCCCGGGAAAGUGUUUCUGGCGUCUAGCCCUGUCCUACAACGAUCCACAGGAGUGCCUUCCUCACCCAGUUUCAACAGGAUUGAGGUGCCCAAGUUAGCUAAUCAGGCAGCAGCUGCAGGAAACACCCCUGUCAAGGCACCACAGAACAAUGGUCGCCGUAAUGGCAUCGGCAAAGUCAAGUUUAUUGAUGCCAAGGGUGUCUUUGCAGAACAUUGUGUAGAGUUUGAAACUUCUCAUCGGGAUGUGCUGCAGAAGCUCGAGAAACUCAAGUCUCAGGUGCAGGAGCUGCAGAGAGAUCUGACCCUGAGGCGAUGUCUGGCGCGGCGGUCGGCGGUGGAGGAGCUAAAGAGUGUCAUUGAUGGUGUCGAGUGUCAGCUUGAGAAGCACUACGGCUACAUAGAGGAAAAACAGCCAACACUCGAGAAGCACUGGGAGGAGAGUGUCCAAAGGAUAGCCAAUGAACAAGAGCUGUACCAGGCUCAGUGCCAGGAUGUUGUGAGACUCCAGCUGGAGACAAAGCACCUGAAGGUCAUCACAGCCCAGCUGACCUCCUACAUCUCAUCCAUAGCCUCCGUCACAGAGAGACUCGCACCCAAGCUUGGCCAGUCUACGAAUGACACGGAGCAUGACAAUCAGAUGCAUGCAUUGUUGGACGAGAUCAACGCUGUGCACCCAGACUCCCAACAGAGAGUUGAUGCCAUUCAGACAGCUGAAGACAUCCGGCAGGUAAACACAGCCAAUCGGAAGAACCCUCUGGAUGAUGAGCUGAUCAAAACCAAGGGACUGCUUCGGGCGCCCUCCCUCCGCAGAGACAGUUCUACCAAGAAAGAUGCCUCCACGACACAAACUGUGCAAGGAAAAGAUACAGCGGAAGAGGACAAGGAAAAUAUCCGGUUAGAGAAUGUGCAGCCAGUUAAGUUAACUCCAACUUGACUCCUCGAGGAGGACAACAGUAUGGCCACCAAGAAGAACGACCAAGAUAAGCAAUGAAGCUUUGUGGUAGUACUCCACACAGGCUUCAGAUGUUACGAGAUAUUUUAGGCACUUUUGUAUCUGAAGGUUGACUUACUGGUGGUGCAAUAUAUUAUUAAUAAAAUUAAGUAAGGAAGAGCACUUUUAGUGGCUCUUUUGACAGUACUUGUUUGAAUAACAAAAUCUGCCAUUUUGCCAUUUUUCCAUCACUACUGAAGUCUUUCAUGAGAUAUUACAUUAAUUUCAUUCCUAUCAACUGCCAUUAUCCCGUGGUGGUGAAGUUGUUUCCACGUUUAAACAGUGAUGUAAUAACUCCAUCAAUUCACUGUAACUUGCAGCUAUACCAUCCUUGGUGUGGCCACACGAAUGUAGCGUACUUGGUGUGGCCUCAUGAAGGUAGUGUACGUGAUGUGGUCUCAUGAAGGUAGCGUACUUGGUGUGGUCUCAUGAAAGACCAUCCUUGGUGUGAUAACACUGAGGUACCAUCCUUGGUGCGGCCUCACUCACUAUAUAGUAACACUAAAAUCGAUUGAAAAUAGUGCUGAGUGGCAUAAUCAGUCUAGUAGGCUCAACAGUUCUGGGCACAGACUAUAACUGCCUUACUGUCCAAAGCUGUGCUAAGUCAAACUCACAUAUCCUCUCAUUCAAUGACCAUCACAUCAAUAUACAGAUUUGUUUUCACCGUAUCAUGUUACACACCAGCAUAUCUGUGAUUCUUCACCAGAGGCUACUGACUGUCACUGGCUUUCAAUGAAUUAGAUAAUCUACAGUGAUGUUGUAAAGUAAUGCUGAUAUAUACAUUACACCAAGUAAAUGAAUAUUUACAUGAUUACUUGUUUAGAAUUAAAACAUUUUAAUGUCUUUUAUUUAUUGGUAACUUAAUAUACUCAUUAACAUUUAUUAAUGUGAUAGAGAAUGACCAUUGUCUCAGGUACAUCUCCUCUUUACAGAUGAGUCUCUCUCAAUUUACUUUGUGCUCCACUUUCUGAUUCCGUUUCUGAACUGUAACGAAUUUGUUGACAAUGUCUAUGCAAAGCCGCCAUCGUGCUGGGUCUGUUUCAUGUUAAUGUUUGCUGACACACCCACAGUUGAUCUUCCAUUCACAUAUGACACGUUCCCACGAUUAGUGCCUCACUUUGACAUAAAUGAAGAUCUUGAUGUCAUGAAUUAUUGGCAAUGUGAAUAUCAUGCUUUUGUAGGUGUUUCCUGUCAUCCAUUGUGUUCCUGAAUAUUGCUGAUGGGUGGGAGGGGGGGUGAACAUGUUCAACCAGUGUACAAGAAAGACUGGCAACUCUACUCCGAUGUAUAUGUCCAUUCAUUAUUUUUAUUACCCUCCCAAAGUGAUUACCGGUAUCCAUUCUUCACCUAAAAAAUACCCAAAGCACAUUGUUUUACUGAUAAUAACACAGCUUAUCAAUAGGCUAACUAUGAAACUAUAGUUAUAGUCCAUUAUGAUCAUGUUAUGUUUUGGGGUGACUUUCCCUGUGCAACUCUGAAAUGUUUCAACAGGUAGAAAAAUACUAUCACCCUGACUGGGGCUGGGAGUGGCAGUGGGUGGGGGAACUCUCAGCCUCACUGGGGGUGGGAGUGGCGGUGGGUGGAGUAACUCUCACCCUGACUGGGGCUGGGAGUGGCAGUGGGUGGAGUAACUUUCUGCCUCACUGGGGCCGGGAGUGGCGGUGGGUGGGCUAACUCUCACCCUGACUGGGGGUGGGAGUGGCGGUGGGUGGAGUAACUUUCAGCCUCACUGGGGGUGGGAGUGGCAGUGGGUGGAGUAACUCUCACCCUGACUGGGGGUGGGAGUGGCAGUGGGUGGAGUAACUCUCACCCUGACUGGGGGUGGGAGUGGCAGUAGGUGGAGUAACUCUCAGCCUCACUGGGGGUGGGAGUGGCGGUGGGUGGAGUAACUCUCAUCCUCACUGGGGAUGGGGUAACUCUCACCCUGACUGGGGGUGGGAG